GCCCUUAGAGUUUGAUCAUGGCUCAGGAUGAACGCUGGCGGCGUGCCUAAUACAUGCAAGUCGAACGAGUGGCGGACGGGUGAGUAACACGUGGGUAACCUGCCCUUAAGUGGGGGAUAACAUUUGGAAACAGAUGCUAAUACCGCAUAGAUCCAAGAACCGCAUGGUUCUUGGCGAAAGAUCGCUUUUGGAUGGACCCGCGGCGUAUUAGCUAGUUGGUGAGGUAAUGGCUCACCAAGGCGAUGAUACGUAGCCGAACUGAGAGGUUGAUCGGCCACAUUGGGACUGAGACACGGCCCAAACUCCUACGGGAG
rnacentral:rRNA from 1 species